GAUGAACGCUAGCGGCAGGCUUAACACAUGCAAGUCGAGGGGUAUAGUUCUUCGGAGCUAGAGACCGGCGCACGGGUGCGUAACGCGUAUGCAAUCUACCUUUUGCAGAGGGAUAGCCCAGAGAAAUUUGGAUUAAUACCUCAUGGUAUGUGAGAAUGGCACCAUUUUCACAUUAAAGUCACAACGGCAAAAGAUGAGCAUGCGUCCCAUUAGCUAGUUGGUAAGGUAACGGCUUACCAAGGCAACGAUGGGUAGGGGUCCUGAGAGGGAGAUCCCCCACACUGGUACGGGGACACGGACCAGACUCCUACGGGAGGCAGCAGUGAGGAAUAUUGGACAAUGGGCGCAAGCCUGAUCCAGCCAUGCCGCGUGCAGGAUGACGGUCCUAUGGAUUGUAAACUGCUUUUGUACAGGAAGAAACACUGGUUCGUGAACCAGCUUGACGGUACUGUAAGAAUAAGGAUCGGCUAACUCCGUGCCAGCCGCCGCCGUAACAC
rnacentral:rRNA from 1 species